rnacentral:rRNA from 1 species
CCAGACUCCUACGGGAGGCAGCAGUGGGGAAUAUUGCACAAUGGGCGCAAGCCUGAUGCAGCGACGCCGCGUGCGGGAUGACGGCCUUCGGGUUGUAAACCGCUUUUGAUCGGGAGCAAGCCUUCGGGUGAGUGUACCUUUCGAAUAAGCACCGGCUAACUACGUGCCAGCAGCCGCGGUAAUACGUAGGGUGCAAGCGUUAUCCGGAAUUAUUGGGCGUAAAGGGCUCGUAGGCGGUUCGUCGCGUCCGGUGUGAAAGUCCAUCGCUUAACGGUGGAUCUGCGCCGGGUACGGGCGGGCUGGAGUGCGGUAGGGGAGACUGGAAUUCCCGGUGUAACGGUGGAAUGUGUAGAUAUCGGGAAGAACACCAAUGGCGAAGGCAGGUCUCUGGGCCGUUACUGACGCUGAGGAGCGAAAGCGUGGGGAGCGAACAGGAUUAGAUACCCUGGUAGUCCACGCCGUAAACGGUGGAUGCUGGAUGUGGGGCCCGUUCCACGGGUUCCGUGUCGGAGCUAACGCGUUAAGCAUCCCGCCUGGGGAGUACGGCCGCAAGGCUAAAACUCAAAGAAAUUGACGGGGGCCCGCACAAGCGGCGGAGCAUGCGGAUUAAUUCGAUGCAACGCGAAGAACCUUACCUGGGCUUGACAUGUUCCCGACAGCCGUAGAGAUAUGGCCUCCCUUCGGGGCGGGUUCACAGGUGGUGCAUGGUCGUCGUCAGCUCGUGUCGUGAGAUGUUGGGUUAAGUCCCGCAACGAGCGCAACCCUCGCCCUGUGUUGCCAGCACGUCAUGGUGGGAACUCACGGGGGACCGCCGGGGUCAACUCGGAGGAAGGUGGGGAUGACGUCAGAUCAUCAUGCCCCUUACGUCCAGGGCUUCACGCAUGCUACAAUGGCCGGUACAACGGGAUGCGACACGGCGACGUGGAGCGGAUCCCUGAAAACCGGUCUCAGUUCGGAUUGGAGUCUGCAACCCGACUCCAUGAAGGCGGAGUCGCUAGUAAUCGCGGAUCAGCAACGCCGCGGUGAAUGCGUUCCCGGGCCUUGUACACACCGCCCGUCAAGUCAUGAAAGUGGGUAGCACCCGAAGCCGGUGGCCUAACCCUUUGUGGAUGGAGCCGUCUAAGGUGAGACUCGUGAUUGGGACUAAGUCGUAACAAGGUAGCCGUACCGGAAGGUGCGGCUG